CUGCCUCUCAUCAAAACACACAGGCGACAGCUGUUACAGGCGACGCCGCGCAUACGCGCUCAACGAUUCCUUCGUACAGUGACACCAUAGUAGUGAUCAGCUAAACUGCGAUUUUCCGAUAUCAGUGAUUUCUGUGAAUUCUACUUUUCAGUAUCUGCUAUUCUUAACUGUGAUUUGUCGCAGUUAAGGAACGUAGGUCGCGUAUCCCUCCGCCACUGCUAUUUCUGCGAUUUCUGCUACUUCCGCGAUUUCUGUGACUUCUGCUGCUUCUGUGAUUUUUGUGACUUCUGCUACUUCUGCGAUUUCUUCGAUUUCUGUGACUUCUGCUACUUCUGAGAUUUCUGCAACUUACCACCGUAUGAAAAAGCUACAUCUGCCCACACAGAAAAUUGCAUCUCAACAAAUCUGUCAUUGGUACCCGAACUACAUUUCAGUCACUCAGUAAAUUGAUAACUCAAAAUAUCAUUGUAAACAGAUCGGGAGAAAUUGCCACUGCGUCUUUAGACUGUUUUCGUCAGACGAGAGACACAGUUCUGACCCUUGAUUACUGGUUGCUGUACGUAUUUAUCCACAACAAGGCUAUUGAGAGAGACUCGUGAAGAUUCAAGACAGCUCAUAGAGGAUUUGCAGUUUAAAAGUGACAUAAGUGUGCAGAUGAGUGAUUAAACUUUGUUUUAUUGAAGUUGUUAUGCGAUUUUAAAGGAAUAAUAAAUGUUAAAUGCAGUG